UUUGUACUCCAUCCGUCCGGAAAUACUUGUCAUCAGAAUGGAUAAAAGGAGAUGUAUCUAGACGUAUUUUAGUUCUAGAUACAUCUCUUUUUAUCCAUUUUGAUGACAAGUAUUUUCAGAACGGAGGGAGUAGUAA
rfam:Triticum aestivum genome assembly, contig: Triticum_aestivum_CS42_TGACv1_scaffold_114902_2AS